GAUGAACGCUGGCGGCGUGCUUAACACAUGCAAGUCGAACGGGAUCCAAGGGGUGCUUGCACUUUUUGGUGAGAGUGGCGAACGGGUGAGUAACACGUGAGUAACCUGUCCUUUUCUUUGGGAUAAGCAUUCGAAAGGGUGGUUAAUACCUUAUGUUCUGUCUGCCUCGCAUGGGGUGGGUGGGAAAGGCUUUGGCCGGAUUUGGGUGGGCUCGCGGUCUAUCAGCUUGUUGGUGGGGUGAUGGCUUACCAAGGCUUUGACGGGUAGCCGGCCUGAGAGGGUGGUGGGUCAAUUUGGGACUAGGAUCCGGCCCAAAUCCCUGGGGGGGGACGGAGUGGGGUAUUGUGCACAAGGGGCGAAAGCCUGAUGCCGCGCCGCGGCGGGGGGGAGGACGGCCUUGGGGUUUUAAACUUUUUUUGCCCUGAACAAGGCAUGCCAGUGGGUUUGGUGUGGGGGGGGGGUGAUAAGCGCCGGCGACCAACG
rnacentral:rRNA from 1 species